UUUUGUGGAAAGCUUUUUCUAAGAAUACCAUGCUGAUGAGACUCCAAAGAAUCUUCCUGAAUGUUAAAUUGUACAAAAUCCUUAUGCCAUUGCUUAACUGAGUUGAGUACAGAUCAGAAGAAAAAAAUUUAUUUUAUGUCACCAAUGACAUUGCUGCCCUUAACCAUUUAAAAGCCACAUAAAUGGUUUAUCAGACUUCAGUGAAUAAUGAAGGCAUGGAGACAGGCUUAUCUUUAAAUGCCAUCUGGAAUAUGGAAGAAUGUUCUUUAACCAUCUACCUGCAGUGUAGAAAUUGUAUCAAACAGUCUCUAUUCCUGUGUCCUUUAAUUGGUGCUGAAAUGAGUGACCCUAGAAACCUUGCUGAAUCAAGGCCUAAUCAGGAUGAAAUAUACAUUGGAGACAAAGACAUGAGCCAAAGAUCAGCCUUGUAAGAUAAGGAUCGGAUUUCCA